rnacentral:rRNA from 1 species
UCAGGUGGUUAUAGCACGAGGGGUCCACCUCUUCCCAUUCCGAACAGAGAAGUUAAGCCUCGUCACGCCGAUGGUACUGCGUAACAGUGGGAGAGUAGGUAGCCGCCGUUU